AUUUUUGUUGUUUUUAAAUGUACAAAGAAUCAUGUUAAAAAUCUCAUUUUUUGUUAUUGACCAUUGUAAGAGAAAAAUAUUAAAAUUUUUAAAUAAUAAGUACAUUGUAAUCUUAUAUCUGUUCUAUUAAAUGGCUGUUCCAUUCAAACAUAUAUAGGACUGUGGGAAGACACUUUGGAGAAAAAGUAACCACUUAUAUCAGCAUUUGGAGACCUGUUUACAUUUUAAACUUGUACAACAUGAUAUUUACACCCACC
rnacentral:lncRNA from 1 species